rnacentral:ncRNA from 1 species
UUUUUGUUUGGUCGGGGUAAACGGCAGCGAACAGACUUAGCACCCGGUACUGUGGGGUCAGGGGAGGAAGCACCGGACAGGCGGCGAAGUUGGCACCUGUUCCCCGAAAGGCCGACGACC